UGCCUGUACACUAUGUAAACAUCAUACCUGA
rnacentral:piRNA from 1 species